UGGAAUUUCCCGUGUGUCUGCGUGGCUCUCAUUCCUUUCUUCUCAUCCGCGUGGCUCUCAUGCUUUUCUUCUCAUUCUUGGCCUGUUCUUGGUUUUGGGAGCACCGCUUCAAUUCCUCAUUAUUCUUCUUAGCUUUCUUUGGCCAGUGGCGGUCAGCAAUUUUCUCUCAUUCUCGGUCAGCAAUUUUCUCUUUUGGUUAUACUGAGUUGUGCCCUGUUCUCUCACCAUCGAAGUCACUGAUACAAUCGCUUUGUUUUCUCUAUCUCUCCGUCUCUGCUUCACCCUACACAUCGCCGCCCUUUCAAUCACCUACUAAGAGAUGACGCAUUCCAGUUGAACACUCUCAAGGCGCGCAUGAAAUAAUCAACCGGAUAGCUUUGCUUUUUCUUGCUGCUCUCUCUAAGUUGCUCUACACGCUUUUCCAAACCCUCUGCCAAUCCUCUAUUAUGAGAGCUGCUUGAAAGUGGGUAAAAAUAUUUUUCUGGCACCAGGUGAAGUUAAUUUUUGAGGCUUUAGCUUAUUUCCUUCCUAGCCUGUUUUUUGCCCUAAAAAUUUUGCCAAGUUUGAAACCUAACCAUAGCUAAAGUUGAUAAGUUGAUUAAACUUCCUAAUUACUUCUCUGUUGAUUUCACUUUGUACACUCAGGUCUUCAUGGAAAAAUCUUUCUCAAUACAAAAGGGGAUAUAGCAUAUAUAGGUAUUGCUGUUAAUCCUGAUACCUAAACAAAGUCCACCGAUUCAAGAAGUGAUCCAAGCUUGUGUUGUCCCUCGUUUUGUUCAUUAUCUUAUUACGGAGGAUUUCCUCAACUUCAGCUUCAAGCUCAUUAUUCCCCAUCUUGCGUACAAAAUGAAGAUUAUAUUUGUUUGGUGUUAUGUAUAAAUAUCUUUUUCCAUCAUUUGCAAAUUUGUAGUUUGAGGCAGCUUGGGCUCUCACAAACAUUGCUUCCGGGACAUCUAUGCACACUAAGGUUGUAAUAGACAAUGGUGCUCUUCCCAUAUUCGCACAGCUUCUUAGUUCUCCCAGCGAUGAUGCCCGUGAACAGGCUGUAUGGGCUCCGUGAAAUGUGGUUGGUGAUUCCCCAAAAUGCCGUGAUUUUGUUCCUGGUCAUGGAGCUCUAGGUCCUUUGGUGGCUUAGCUAAAUGAGCAUGCAAACUAUCAUUGUUGCGAAAUGCCACGUGGACACUAUCUAAUUUCUGCAGAGGCAAGUUUUAGCCAUAUUUUGACAAGAGAGAAUGCAAAAGUUUAGUUGGAUUACAUACUCAACGUCACCAAAGGCUCGUGUAAUUACGCUGGAUGGAUUGAGAAAAAUUCUCAGGAGUCAUUAGCGUUUAUUUUGAACCUAAAUGAAUUGGUUGGCUAUACUAUUAUAAUUGCUGUGUACUUUUGCUUUAGUUUUGUGUACAAGAUUAAUAUAGUAUAUGCUAGCCCACUAUAGCUGUUAUGUAUAUAUAUUUUUUCAGAAACGGUAGGAAUUGUAUUAAUGAUUUAAAGCUUUACAUUUGGUGAGCAAAGGCUCAUAAAAAGCUAUACAAAAGUGUUAGAUCACCAAGGAUUGUUCCAUUCCUCAUC